AUAAGGGGCCUAAAUAUCCUAAAAAUACCCAAUCCUGUCUGAUCUUGAAAGCUAAGUAAGGACAUCCCUGGUUAGUAUUUGAUUGGGAUAUCACCAGUGUAUACCGGGUGCUGCAGGCU
rnacentral:rRNA from 1 species